rnacentral:rRNA from 1 species
UUUAGAGGAAGUAAAAGUCGUAACAAGGUUUCCGUAGGUGAACCUGCGGAAGGAUCAUUACCUAGAGUUGUAGGCUUUGCCUACCAUCUCUUACCCAUGUCUUUUGAGUACCUUCGUUUCCUCGGCGGGUCCGCCCGCCGAUUGGACAAACUUAAACCCUUUGUAAUUGAAAUCAGCGUCUGAAAAAACAUAAUAGUUACAACUUUCAACAACGGAUCUCUUGGUUCUGGCAUCGAUGAAGAACGCAGCGAAAUGCGAUAAGUAGUGUGAAUUGCAGAAUUCAGUGAAUCAUCGAAUCUUUGAACGCACAUUGCGCCCCUUGGUAUUCCAUGGGGCAUGCCUGUUCGAGCGUCAUUUGUACCUUCAAGCUCUGCUUGGUGUUGGGUGUUUGUCUCGCCUUUGCGUGUAGACUCGCCUUAAAACAAUUGGCAGCCGGCGUAUUGAUUUCGGAGCGCAGUACAUCUCGCGCUUUGCACUCAUAACGACGACGUCCAAAAAGUACAUUUU